rnacentral:rRNA from 1 species
AUGCAAGUCGAGCGGGGGAAGGUAGCUUGCUACCGGACCUAGCGGCGGACGGGUGAGUAAUGCUUAGGAAUCUGCCUAUUAGUGGGGGACAACAUCUCGAAAGGGAUGCUGAUACCGCAUACGUCCUACGGGAGAAAGCAGGGGAUCUUCGGACCUUGCGCUAAUAGAUGAGCCUAAGUCGGAUUAGCUAGUUGGUGGGGUAAAGGCCUACCAAGGCGACGAUCUGUAGCGGGUCUGAGAGGAUGAUCCGCCACACUGGGACUGAGACACGGCCCAGACUCCUACGGGAGGCAGCAGUGGGGAAUAUUGGACAAUGGGGGGAACCCUGAUCCAGCCAUGCCGCGUGUGUGAAGAAGGCCUUAUGGUUGUAAAGCACUUUAAGCGAGGAGGAGGCUACUUUAGUUAAUACCUAGAGAUAGUGGACGUUACUCGCAGAAUAAGCACCGGCUAACUCUGUGCCAGCAGCCGCGGUAAUACAGAGGGUGCGAGCGUUAAUCGGAUUUACUGGGCGUAAAGCGUGCG